rnacentral:misc_RNA from 1 species
UUUCCGUAGGUGUACCUGCGGAAGGAUCAUUAUUGGAUUUUGGAACUUCAGGCUGCUGCUGGCUCUCCUCGGAGGGCAUGUGCACGCUUGUUGUCCAUUAUUUCUCCCACUGUGCACAAAUUGUAGACCUUUCAGUAGGCCUAUGUUGUUUUUCACAAUCUCUGAAUGUAAUAGAAUGGUUUUGAAUCUUGGGAAAUACAAUACAACUUUCAGCAACGGAUCUCUUGGCUCUC